CAUAGCAUUGUUACUCGUAAAUUAAAAUCAACCUCAAGUACUGAUAAGAUACAGUCAAUUCCCGGCAACAAUCAAUUGCCGAUGGAGCUGAUUGCAUUGUCUGCUCCCGUUAUUAUUUAAGACAAUACCCACUUCCAUGAAGACUAAUGCCUGGACCUGUUCUUAGAGAACAAAAGCUGGAACGAGCGAGGGGUUAUCAUUAGAAACAAGAAGUACUAGAACUGUGGCAGAAACAAGUGUAUCGGUUAAAAUAAUUACAUAAAGUGAGUGGGAGUGGAAGCGGGAGCAGGAGCGGGAGCGGGAGCAGGAGCGGGAGCGGGAGCGGGAGUGGGAGUUGGAGUGCUGCCAAACAGAAAAAAAAUAUACGAAUAAUUAUAGUAGUAGUGCAAGAACAAGGAUAGGUGUGGGUAUAUACAAAUUAUUUAGUACUUUUCAGUGGGUUGGUUUUUUUAAGGCGGUUCCCUUUUUAAAAAAAAAUAUGAAAUUAAGUUAUUUUAGUUUUGCUUUUUUUUUUCAAUAUUUUAUUAUUUUUUAAUUUUAUUUUUUUGCAAUAUUUGAUCAGCACAAAAGGUGGUUUAAAUUUAGAUGCUUCUAAUUGGCCGCGAUACAGAAUAUGUGGAGUGCUCCUAUUGGUGCUUUUGAAAAAGCCUCCGAAUACUAGCCGAGCCCGACGGCUGCGUUUACCAGUAGCUACUGUAUUGGGAAUAUUUUUAUAUAAUAAUAAGUUGCAUUCGCAACAGUCUGCUCUUGUCUGUCUUGAAACCUUCGAAACACGACAACCUUCGGCCAUAAACUUACUUAGGACUAUAGAAACUUGACUCUAAAUAUCAAUAUUUGUAGAAGUAAUAUUUACACAUAGAUAUGACCACAUGAAAUUAGGUGUUCAUCAAUUUUGAC